GAUGAACGCUGGCGGCGCGCCUAACACAUGCAAGUCGAACGAGGUCUUUUAGAAAAGCUUGCUUUUCUGGCUGACCUAGUGGCGGACGGGUGAGUAACACGUGAGCAACCUGCCCUGAAGUGGGGGACAACACCUGGAAACGGGUGCUAAUACCGCAUAACAUCUCCGGAUGGCCUCUUCUGGAGAUCAAAGGAGAAAUCCGCUUUGGGAUGGGCUCGCGCCCGAUUAGAUAGUUGGUGGGGUAAUGGCCUACCAAGUCUGCGAUCGGUAGCCGGACUGAGAGGUUGAUCGGCCACAUUGGGACUGAGACACGGCCCAGACUCCUACGGGAGGCAGCAGUGGGGGAUAUUGCACAAUGGGGGAAACCCUGAUGCAGCGACGCCGCGUGAGUGAAGACGGCCUUCGGGUUGUAAAGCUCUGUUGUGGGGGACGAACACAACGACGGUACCCCAUCAGAAAGCCACGGCUAACUACGUGCCAGCAGCCGCAGUAAGAC
rnacentral:rRNA from 1 species